CGACCGGCGCACGGGUGAGUAACACGUAUGCAACCUGCCCUCUUCAGGGGGACAACCUUCCGAAAGGGAGGCUAAUCCCGCGUAUAUCGGUUUCGGGCAUCCGAGAUCGAGGAAAGAUUCAUCGGAAGAGGAUGGGCAUGCGGCGCAUUAGCUAGACGGCGGGGUAACAGCCCACCGUGGCGACGAUGCGUAGGGGUUCUGAGAGGAAGGUCCCCCACACUGGUACUGAGACACGGACCAGACUCCUACGGAAGGCAGCAG
rnacentral:rRNA from 1 species